rnacentral:rRNA from 1 species
GAGUUCAUGGCUCAGGAUGAACGCUAGCUACAGGCUUAACACAUGCAAGUCGAGGGGCAGCAUGAACUUAGCUUGCUAAGUUUGAUGGCGACCGGCGCACGGGUGAGUAACACGUAUCCAACCUUCCGUUUACUCAGGGAUAGCCUUUCGAAAGAAAGAUUAAUACCUGAUAGUAUGGUGAGAUUGCAUGAUAGCACCAUUAAAGAUUUAUUGGUAAACGAUGGGGAUGCGUU